GCGGAGGGGUUCCACACGUACCCAUCCCGAACACGACCGUUAAGCCCUCCAGCGCCGAUGGUACUUGGACCGAAGGGUCCUGGGAGAGUAGGACGCCGCCAAGC
rnacentral:rRNA from 2 species